rnacentral:rRNA from 1 species
CCUACGGGAGGCAGCAGUGGGGAAUAUUGCACAAUGGGGGAAACCCUGAUGCAGCGACGCCGCGUGAGUGAAGAAGUAAUUCGUUAUGUAAAGCUCUAUCAGCAGGGAAGAAAAUGACGGUACCUGAGUAAGAAGCCCCGGCUAACUACGUGCCAGCAGCCGCGGUAAUACGUAGGGGGCAAGCGUUAUCCGGAUUUACUGGGUGGAAAGGGAGCGUAGACGGCAGUGCAAGUCUGGAGUGAAAGGCGGGGGCUCAACCCCCGGACUGCUCUGGAAACUGUACGGCUGGAGUGCAGGAGAGGUAAGUGGAAUUCCGAGUGUAGCGGUGAAAUGCGUAGAUAUUAGGAGGAACACCAGUGGCAAAGGCGGCUUACUGGACUGUAACUGACGUUGAGGCUCGAAAGCGUGGGGAGCAAACAGGAUUAGAUACCCUGGUAGUC